rnacentral:rRNA from 1 species
UUGGAGGGCAAGUCUGGUGCCAGCAGCCGCGGUAAUUCCAGCUCCAAUAGCGUAUAUUAAAGUUGUUGCAGUUAAAAAGCUCGUAGUUGAAUUUCGGGGUUAGUAGGUUGGUCAUGCCUCUGGUAUGUACUGGUCUCACUGAUUCCUCCUUCCUGAUGAUCCGUAAUGCCAUUUAUUUGGUGUUGCGGGGAAUUUGGACUGUUACUUUGAAAAAAUUAGAGUGUUUAAAGCAAGCUAACGCUUGAAUACAUUAGCAUGGAAUAAUGAAAUAGGACGUUCGAUCCUAUUUUGUUGGUUUCUAGGAUUGACGUAAUGAUUAAUAGGGAUAGUUGGGGGCAUUAGUAUUCAAUUGUCAGAGGUGAAAUUCUUGGAUUUAUUGAAGACUAACUACUGCGAAAGCAUUUGCCAAGGAUGUUUUCAUUAAUCAAGAACGAAAGUUAGGGGAUCGAAGACGAUCAGAUACCGUCGUAGUCUUAACCAUAAACUAUGCCGACUAGGGAUCGGAUGAUGUUAAUUUUUUAAUGACCCAUUCGGCGCCUUACGGGAAAC